AUGAAAACUCCAAAACGGGAAAAGGAAAGACUCACUCAACAUACCGUCAUUGGACAGGUAGAUUUGGGCAAGUCUACCACUAUAGCCAUCUGAUCUAUAAACAUGGUGGCAUCAAAAAAAGAACCACUGAGAAAAUUGAGGACACUGCUAAGACGGGAAAGGGCUCCUUCAAGUAUGCCUGGGUCUUGGAUAAACUGAAAGUGGAGCAUGAACGUGGUAUCACCAUUGAUAUCUCCCUGUGGAAAUUUGAGGCCAGCAAGUACUACGUCACUAUCAUUGAUGCCCCAGGACACAGAGACUUCAUCAAUAACAUAAUUACAGGCUCAUCUCAGGCUGACUGUGCUGUCCUGAUUGUUGCUGCUGGUGUUGGUGAAUCUGAAGCUGGUAUCUCCAAGAAUGGGCAAAUCCAUGAGCACGCCAGCCCUUCUGGCUUACACACUGAGUGUGAAACAGCUAAUUGGUUGGUGAAAACAAAAUGGAUUCCACAAAGCCAGCCUACAGUCAGAAUAGAUAUGAAAACAUUGUUAAGAAAAAAGUCAGCACUUAUACUAAGAAAAUUGGCUACAACCCUCACACAGUUGCAUCUGUGCCAAUUUCAAGUUAGAAUGGUGACAAACAUGCUGGAGCCAAGUGCUAACAUGCUUUGGUUCAAGGGAUGGAAGGCCACCCAUAAGGAUGGCAAAACCAGUGGAACCACACUGCUUAAAUCACUGGACUGCAAUCUACCACCAACUCUGCCAACAGAAAAGCUCAUGCAUCUGUCUCUCCAGGAUGUCUGGUGGUAUUUGUACUGACUCUGUGGGUCAAGUGGAGACUGGUGUUUUCAAAUCUGGCAUGGCAGUCACCUUGCUCCAGUCAACGUUACAAGUGAAGUAAAGUCUGUUGAAUGUACCAUGAAGCUUUGAGUGAAGCUCUUCCCGGGGACAAUGGAGUUUCAAUGUCAAGAAUGUAACUGCCAAAGAUGUUUGUUGUGACAAGCAUUGUUGGUGACAAUAAAAAUGAUUCACCAAUGGAAGCAGCUGGCUUCAUUGCUCAGAUGAUUAUCUUGAACCAUCCAGGCCAAAUCAGUGCUGGCUGUGCCCCUAUACUGAACUGUCACACAGCUCACAUUGCAUACAAUUUUGCUGAGCUAAAGGAAAAGAUUGCCGUUCUGGAAAGAAGCUGGAAGAUGGCCCUAAAUUCUUGAAGUCAGAUGAUGCUGCCAUCAUUGAUAUAGUUCCUGGCAAGUACAUGUGUGUGGAGAGUUUCUCUGACUAUCCUCUGAAUUGUUUUGCUGUCCGUGAUAUGAAGCAGAUAAUUGCUGUGGUGUCAUCAAAGCAGUGGACAAGGCGGCUGCUGGAGCUGGCAAGGUCACUAAAUCUACCCAGAAAGCUCGAAAGGCAAAAUGA